GUUGAGCUCGGGAGCUUGCCUGUGUGCCCGCUUCUUCCUUCUAACGAUUUCUCUCGCUUGUGGCGUAGAUGGAGCUGGAUCUGGAUGGCGCCCAUGUGGUGGUCGGGAGCGGCUCUCGAGAUCUUCUCCUGCACAGAGGCUUUGUGAGAACUUUCACACGCACUGGCGAUUUGAUAAAAUGGAAGUGAGAACGAGGGGACUUUAUUACUAAAAUCCUUUAAACAUGUCAUAAACGGUUUGAAAAACACUUGAUGCUAAUCC